rnacentral:lncRNA from 1 species
CAUUUUUCAGUUAACAUUAUGUUUUGGACACUUAAGCUUAUUGAUGCCUGUGGCUCUGCUUUCAACUGCUGUAUAGUGCAAGUAGACCAUAAAAGUUCAAAUAUGUAUAUACAGUUGUGGUACAGUAUUUAACUGAAUAAAAUAUCUUUCAGCCACUGAGAACGCCACCUCUGUUAUAUAUCACAAUUUCUAGAAAUUGUGAAUUUGUGUUGAGGCUGUCACUUUUUGUAUUCCAGGUCCAUUUAACCACAAGUAGCCACAAAGUGUCUCAAAAAGCUUAAGAACUAAUCUCAUAGAGAUUUGAUUAUCCGGCCACAAUCUUAUUAAUUUAAGAAAUCGAUAAUGAAAAGAUAAUUUAAGUCAACAUGAUCGGAAAGUAAAAUGAAUCUCAAAAUGCAUUAUUUAAAGCUUUAAAGAAAAUUUGAGAAAGGGACCAAAGGCAGUUACUGCCAGUGCCUAGAAAACAGUUUGAGAAGGCUGCAUUUACAGAAUUUGUUGGGAUGAAGAUGUAUGAGUUUUCCUUGGACUAAUUGGAUCCAAGGAAGGUGUAUAUGCUGUGUCAUCUUAAAAAGCAUCCCACUCAAGAGGGCUUCCUGCUGGGGUGAGGCAACCUUAGAAGAUUACACCUAGAAUGAUACAGUCAAAUAUCAAUCCUAAAGGAGGCCUCUAAGGAAUCAGCCAGUGUUUGAAUUAGACUUGUCUGGGAAGAAUGAAGUAAUAGUUACCUGUAGGUGGUCUCAAAUGGGCUCAUAUGAAGCUCCACCAGAGGAAGGUCCUGUAUUUGUGAUCUGUUCCAAGAGCACCACUCAAUGAGAUCUUACCCUUUCCUUCAUCCUUCUACUUUGGCCUUGCAAUAGCAAGAGACAGCUUACAGGUUGAGAUGGAAGAAAUCAUGAGGACUGCAAUGGGAUGAGGCAUGAAUGGAAGAUGAAGAGCUAGAGACAGUGAGUAUAGGAAUUUUUUCAGGACAUUUGCCAGGAAGGAGAUAAGCAGUAGUUGGAGGAAAAGACAAUUUUAAUGGAGUGUUUAUAACUGUAGGAAGGACUUUAUCAGAGUUUACAGAUUACCUAAAAGGAACCACUAGAGUGGGUGAAACAGAAGAAAUAAG